rnacentral:rRNA from 1 species
UACGUAGGGGGCGAGCGUUGUCCGGGAUUUACUGGGCGUAAAGCGCGUGUAGGCGGCUGCUUAAGUCGGGUGUGAAAGCCCGGGGCUCAACCCCGGGAUGCCGCCCGAGACUGGGCGGCUUGAGGUCGGAAGAGGGGAGUGGAAUUCCAGGUGUAGCGGUGAAAUGCGUAGAGAUCUGGAGGAACACCCGUGGCGAAGGCGGCUCCCUGGUCCGAUUCUGACGCUGAGACGCGAAAGCGCGGGGAGCGAACGGG